AUGAUUUUUAAAGCAAACCAAGCUUUUUUUUUAAAAGUAAGGUUUUGCGAAUAUAUUUAAAACCCCCCCACUCUUUUAAAAAAAAAUAUUACAUUCAUAUGAUUAUGAAUUAAAAUAAAAGA
rnacentral:misc_RNA from 1 species